GGGUUUUUAGUCCAAGUAAGACAUUUGAUUUCGGCUCAAAAAACUGAGGUUAAAUUCCUCAACUGCCCU
rnacentral:tRNA from 1 species